rnacentral:lncRNA from 1 species
GGAAUAAUGUACAUAAAAAGUACCUUCAACUGAAUGAGCAGUCAGUGGUAGCCUUUGCCUGCCUCGUGUUGCCAAACCUUAAUCAAAGUCUUCCCCGUUCCCAAGCCCCUGGUCCAUUAAUUCAGACCACAUUUUUUCUCAGUUUUCCAGCACUGUGUGGUUAAGUAACUGUGUAGGCUUCUUGUGGACCUUGCCUUUCUUACUAGAAAUUGUAUGAUGGACCAAGCGGUCACGCAGCCUUGGGUCUGAAUUCCCAGCUCAGCCCCUUACUAUGUCACCUAACAAAUCACUUCAACUCUCAGACGUAUUUUCCUGAUGUGUGAAAUGGUGAGCAUUCUGUUGCCCAACAAGCUUAUUGUGAUAUCAGUGCCUGGUAUGCAGCAGGUGCUAAAUAAAUAUUAGUCCUCCCUCCCUGCACCUGUUUCCUACAGCUACCAUAACAAAUUAUCACAAACUUAAUGGUUUAAAACAACACAAAUUUAUUGUCUUACAGUUCUGGAGGUCAGAAGUCCAAAAUGGAUCUCAUGGGUAUGGAAGUAUCGGCAGGGCUGUGUUCUGCUGGAGGCUCUGGGGAGAGUCUGUUUCCUGGCCUUUUCCACAUUUAGAGGCUGCCUGCUUUCCUUCGCUCAUAUUCCAUCUUCAAAGCCAGCAAUCACUUUGCCUCUGCUUCUGUCAUCACAUCUCGUUUUCUCUGACUCUCUGACUCUCCUUCCUUCUCUUUUCCCACCCAGAGAAUCCAGGAUAAUCUCCCUUUCUCAAAAUACUUAUUUAAUUACAUCUGCUAUUUCUUUUGUUAUGUAAGGUAACAUGUCACAGGUCCCAGGGCUUCAGAUGUAGCCCUAUUUAGGGGCCAUUAUUCUCUCUACCACUCCCUUUUAACUUUUUGCUGAUUAUGCAAACCUGAGCCCAUCAUCCCUGGCCCUCAGGUCAACUCUGCCCUCCAGUUUUCUUAUGCCUUGAUACCAGCUCACUUGGUCAUCAAGACCUCCAGCUGAUGGCUCGCUCACAAACUUCAAGACCAAUGAGCCAGAGUGAAUUGAAAGAGCAUUUUGUGUACAACUCCUGUGUUACAGAUGAGGAAGAGGAAGCAGACCACAGAAGACAUUUAUUUAAGGUCACGCUAGUUCUUGUUAACUCAAGAAGUCGGACUUAAAUUUCCUGAUGUUCAGGAACUGUGACUUGAUUCUAACCCAUAGAAUACGGCAAAGGCAACGUCAUGUCGCUCUCCUGGAUUACACUGCAUUAGAUAAGACUCUAUCAUAGCAGUCUGGAGCUGAAGACUCUCUUUGUGGGCUGGAUGAAGCCAGCAGCCGCGUUGGAGGAGCCCAGGUGACAAGGUGACCUCUAGGACUGGGAACCCACCUCCUAACAACAGCAAGAAGCUGAGACCCUCAGUAAUAUAACCCCAAGGAAAUGAUUUCUACCAACUUGAAUGAGCUGGGUAGCAGAUUCUUCCCCAGCUGAGCCUUCAAAUGAGAAUGUGUCCCAGCCAACAGCUUGAUUAUAGGAGUGUGAGAGCCGAGCAGAGGACCCAGCCAAGCUGUGCCUGAACUCCUGCCCAACAGAAACUGUGAGAUAAUAAAUAUGUGUUGUUUUAAGCUGA